UGGAAAGCAAACAUCCACAGUGGCUUGUUAUUAUGACCCCACUCCUUCUCAGAGAGCAGACAGACAAUCGGGACAAAUGCCUUGCCUGGGGCCACAAGACUCAGCAUGGAAAACCUGGAACACCAUGAUUCGGGAGAACGAUGGAAAAUCCACGCCUCACCCCUGUCCACCUCAAGCGCCACCUUCGGAACCUCUCACACAAGGUUCCCCUGGAUUUUCCACACUUUAAGG